CGUAGGAAGCACCAAGUGUCGAAGACACAUUUAGAAUGGUGCUGACGAAUGUAUAUGAGGGGGGCAAUACCAAAC
rnacentral:sRNA from 1 species